CCUACGUGAGGCAGCAGUGGGGAAUAUUGCACAAUGGGGGAAACCCUGAUGCAGCGACGCCGCGUGAGUGAAGCAGUAAUUCGUUAUGUAAAGCUCUAUCAGCAGGGAAGAAAAUGACGGUACCUGAGUAAGAAGCCCCGGCUAACUAAGUGCCAGCAGCCGCGGUAAUACGUAGGGGGCAAGCGUUAUCCGGAUUUACUGGGUGUAAAGGGAGCGUAGACGGCAGUGCAAGUCUGGAGUGAAAGGCGGGGGCUCAACCCCCGGACUGCUCUUGAAACUGUACGGCUGGAGUGCAGGAGAGGUAAGUGGAAUUCCUAGUGUAGCGGUGAAAUGCGUAGAUAUUAGGAGGAACACCAGUGGCGAAGGCGGCUUACUGGACUGUAACUGACGUUGAGGCUCGAAAGCGUGGGGAGCAAACAGGAUUAGAUACCCUGGUAGUC
rnacentral:rRNA from 1 species